rnacentral:misc_RNA from 1 species
GAAAUGCGAUAAGUAAUGUGAAUUGCAGAAUUCAGUGAAUCAUCGAAUCUUUGAACGCACAUUGCGCCCCUUGGUAUUCCGAGGGGCAUGCCUGUUCGAGCGUCAUUACAACCACUCAAGCCUCGGCUUGGUCUUGGGGUUCGCGGUUUCGCGGCCCUUAAAAUCAGUGGCGGUGCCGUCUGGCUCUAAGCGUAGUAAUUCUCUCGCUAUAGGGUCCAGGUGGCCACCUGCCAUAACCCCCCAUUCUUUACGGUUGACCUCGGAUCAGGUAGGGAUACCCGCUGAGUUUAA